rnacentral:rRNA from 1 species
UGCAAGUCGAACGAGAAAGGGGCUUCGGCCCUGAGUAGAGUGGCGCACGGGUGAGUAACGCGUAAGUAACCUGUCUUUCUAUUUGGAAUAACAGUUCGAAAGGGCUGCUAAUACCGGAUACUCUUCAUUGCCGCGAGGUGAUGGAGGAAAGGUGACCUCUUCGUGAAAGUUACCGUAGAGAGAGGGGCUUGCGUACCAUUAGCUAGUUGGUGAGGUAACGGCCCACCAAGGCGACGAUGGUUAGCGGGUCUGAGAGGAUGAUCCGCCACACUGGAACUGAAACACGGACCAGACUCCUACGGGAGGCAGCAGUGAGGAAUAUUGCGCAAUGGGGGCAACCCUGACGCAGCGACGCCGCGUGAGUGAAGAAGGCCUUCGGGUUGUAAAGCUCUGUCGGAAGGGAAGAAAUGUCUUGGUGCUAAUAUCGCCAGGAUUUGACGGUACCUUCAAAGGAAGCACCGGCUAACUCCGUGCCAGCAGCCGCGGUAAUACGGAGGGUGCGAGCGUUAAUCGGAAUUACUGGGCGUAAAGGGCGCGUAGGCGGCUUGGCAAGUCGGAUGUGAAAGCCCACGGCUUAACCGUGUGAAGUGCAUUCGAAACUGCCAGGCUUGAGUAUCGGCGGGGAAGAUGGAAUUCCCGGUGUAGAGGUGAAAUUCGUAGAUAUCGGGAGGAAUACCGGUGGCGAAGGCGAUCUUCUGGACGAAUACUGACGCUGAGGCGCGAAAGCGUGGGGAGCAAACAGGAUUAGAUACCCUGGUAGUCCACAGCUGUAAACGAUGUGCACUAGAUGUAGGGGGGAGUUGACCCCCUCUGUGUCGCAGCUAACGCGAUAAGUGCACCGCCUGGGGAGUACGGCCGCAAGAUUAAAACUCAAAGGAAUUGACGGGGGCCCGCACAAGCGGUGGAGUAUGUGGUUUAAUUCGACGCAACGC